rnacentral:rRNA from 1 species
GACGAACGCUGGCGGCGUGCUUAACACAUGCAAGUCGAACGGAAAGGCCCUGCUUUUGUGGGGUGCUCGAGUGGCGAAUGGGUGAGUAACACGUGUGCAACCUGCCCUUGACUUUGGGAUAACUUCAGGUAACUGGGGCUAAUACCGGAUAGCAUCUCCUGCUCCCUUGUGCGGGCUGGAACGUUUCGGCUGGUGGGGCUGGACUCGCGGCUUACCAGCUUGUUGGUGGGGUUGUGGCUUACCCAGGCUUUGACGGGUAUCCGGCCUGAGAGGGUGAGCGACGACAUUGAGACUGAGAUACGGACCAGGCUCGUACGGGAGGCAGUGGUGGGAAGUCUGGCCCAGUGGGCGGAAGCCUGAUGCGAAGACGACGCGGGCGGGAUGACGGCCUUCGAGGUGUGAACCGCUUUCGCCUGUGACGAAGCGUGUGUGACGGUAAUGGGUAAAGAAGCACCGGCUAACUACGUG